rnacentral:rRNA from 1 species
AGCAGUCGCCACGGUAACACCGAGGGUGCGAGCGUUAAUCGGAUUUACUGGGCGUAAAGCGUGCGUAGGCGGCUUCUUAAGUCGGAUGUGAAAUCCCUGAGCUUAACUUAGGAAUUGCAUUCGAUACUGGGAAGCUAGAGUAUGGGAGAGGAUGGUAGAAUUCCAGGUGUAGCGGUGAAAUGCGUAGAGAUCUGGAGGAAUACCGAUGGCGAAGGCAGCCAUCUGGCCUAAUACUGACGCUGAGGUACGAAAGCAUGGGGAGCAAACAGGAUUAGAUACCCCCGUAGUCCCUGUCUCUUAUAC